rnacentral:rRNA from 1 species
GUUAUAGGGUCAAGCGAACAAGUGCAUGUGGUGGAUGCCUUGGCGAUCACAGGCGAUGAAGGACGCGGUAGCCUGCGAAAAGCUACGGGGAGCUGGCAAACGAGCUUUGAUCCGUAGAUGUCCGAAUGGGGAAACCCACUCCUUUUGGAGUAUCCAUGGCUGAAUACAUAGGCCAUGCGAAGCGAACGCGGUGAACUGAAACAUCUAAGUAACCGCAGGAAAAGAAAUCAACCGAGAUUCCCAAAGUAGUGGCGAGCGAAAUGGGAUGAGCCUUGCACUCUUUAUUUGUAUUGUUAGCCGAACGCUCUGGAAAGUGCGGCCAUAGCAGGUGAUAGCCCUGUAGGCGAAAACAGUAUGAAAGAACUAGGUGUGCGACAAGUAGGGCGGGACACGUGAAAUCCUGUCUGAAGAUGGGGGGACCAUCCUCCAAGGCUAAAUACUCGUGAUCGACCGAUAGUGAACCAGUACCGUGAGGGAAAGGCGAAAAGAACCCCGGGAGGGGAGUGAAAUAGAUCCUGAAACCGCAUGCAUACAAACAGUCGGAGCCUCGUAAGGGGUGACGGCGUACCUUUUGUAUAAUGGGUCAGCGACUUACGUUCAGUAGCAAGCUUAACCGUAUAGGGCAGGCGUAGCGAAAGCGAGUCCGAAUAGGGCGUUCAGUUGCUGGGCGUAGACCCGAAACCAGGUGAUCUAUCCAUGGCCAGGAUGAAGGUGCGGUAACACGUACUGGAGGUCCGAACCCACUAACGUUGAAAAGUUAGGGGAUGAGCUGUGGAUAGGGGUGAAAGGCUAAACAAACCUGGAAAUAGCUGGUUCUCUCCGAAAACUAUUUAGGUAGUGCCUCGUGUCUCACCUUCGGGGGUAGAGCACUGUCAUGGUUGGGGGGUCUAUUGCAGAUUACCCCGCCAUAGCAAACUCCGAAUACCGAAGAGUGCAAUCACGGGAGACAGACAUCGGGUGCUAACGUCCGGUGUCAAGAGGGAAACAACCCAGACCGCCAGCUAAGGUCCCCAAAUAUAGCUAAGUGGGAAACGAAGUGGGAAGGCUAAAACAGUCAGGAGGUUGGCUUAGAAGCAGCCACCCUUUAAAGAAAGCGUAAUAGCUCACUGAUCGAGUCGUCCUGCGCGGAAGAUGUAACGGGGCUAAGCUAUAUACCGAAGCUGCGGAUGCGUGCUUAGCACGCAUGGUAGGAGAGCGUUCCGUAAGCCUGCGAAGGUGCCUUGUAAAGGGUGCUGGAGGUAUCGGAAGUGCGAAUGCUGACAUGAGUAGCGAUAAAGGGGGUGAAAGGCCCCCUCGCCGUAAGCCCAAGGUUUCCUACGCAACGUUCAUCGGCGUAGGGUGAGUCGGCCCCUAAGGCGAGGCAGAAAUGCGUAGCUGAUGGGAAGCAGGUCAAUAUUCCUGCACCAUUGUUAGAUGCGAUGGGGGGACGGAUCGCGGAAGGUUGUCCGGGUGUUGGAAGUCCCGGUCGCUGCAUUGGAGAAGGCGCUUAGGCAAAUCCGGGCGCG